rnacentral:rRNA from 1 species
UACCAGCACCCCGAGUGGUCGGGACGAUUAUUGGGCCUAAAGCAUCCGUAGCCGGUCCUGCAAGUCUUCCGUUAAAUCCAGCUGCUCAACAGAUGGGCUGCGGGAGAUACUACAGGGCUAGGAGGCGGGAGAGGCAAGCGGUACUUUAUGGGUAGGGGUAAAAUCCGCUGAUCCAUAGAAGACCACCAGUGGCGAAGGCGGCUUGCCAGAACGCGCUCGACGCUGAGGUGCGAAAGCGUGGGGAGCAAACAGG